rnacentral:rRNA from 1 species
GACGAACGCUGGCGGCGUGCUUAACACAUGCAAGUCGAACGAAGCUUGAUUACGGAUUCUUCGGAUGAAGUAUGAUAUGACUGAGUGGCGGACGGGUGAGUAACGCGUGAGUAACCUGCCCUUCAGAGGGGGGUAGCGUUUGGAAACGAACGGUAAUACCGCAUAAUGUAUUUUGACCGCAUGAUCGAAAUACCAAAGAUUUAUCGCUGAAGGAUGGACUCGCGUCUGAUUAGGUAGUUGGUGGGGUAACGGCCUACCAAGCCGACGAUCAGUAGCCGGACUGAGAGGUUGAUCGGCCACAUUGGGACUGAGACACGGCCCAGACUCCUACGGGAGGCAGCAGCGGGGAAUAUUGCACAAUGGGCGCAAGCCUGAUGCAGCAACGCCGCGUGAAGGAAGACGGUUUUCGGAUUGUAAACUUCUGUUCUUAGUGAAGAAUAAUGACGGUAGCUAAGGAGCAAGCCACGGCUAACUACGUG